rnacentral:rRNA from 1 species
GCGGGCUGCCUUACACAUGCCAGUCGAACGGCAGCGCGGACUUCGUGUCUGGCGGCGAGUGGCGAACGGGUGAGUAAUACAUCGGAACGUACCUGUUUGCGGGGGAUAACUAGUCGAAAGAUUAGCUAAUACCGCAUACGACCUGGAGGGUGAAAGCGGGGGACCGUAAGGCCUCGCGCAGCAGGAGCGGCCGAUGUCUGAUUAGCUAGUUGGUGGGGUAAAGGCCCACCAAGGCGACCAUCAGUAGCUGGUCUGAGAGGACGAUCAGCCACACUGGGACUGAGACACGGUCCAGACUCCUACGAGAGGCAGCAGUGGGGAAUUUUGGACAAUGGGGGCAGCCCUGAUCC